rnacentral:rRNA from 1 species
UACAGAGGGUGCUAGCGUUGUUCGGAAUCAUUGGGCGUAAAGGGCGCGUAGGCGGGUUGCCAAGUCCGGGGUGAAAGCCUCCAGCUUAACUGGAGAAGUGCCUUGGAUACUGGUGAUCUCGAGGGAGGUAGGGGCAUGUGGAACUUCCGGUGGAGCGGUGAAAUGCGUAGAUAUCGGAAGGAACGCCGGUGGCGAAAGCGACGUGCUGGACCUCUUCUGACGCUGAGGCGCGAAAGCUAGGGGAGCAAACGGG